GGUUUCGUGGUCUAGUGGUAUGAUUCGCCCUUAGGGACUUUGCCGGCAACGGUGAAGCUACUGGGCGAGGUCUCGGGUUCAAUUCCCGACGAAGCCC